rnacentral:rRNA from 1 species
CAGUGAGAAAUAUUGAACCAGCAACUUAAGGAAUGCAACAGCAAAUUUGAUGGAUGAAGAACGAAUAAGUCGACUAAAGUUCUAGAUAGAAUAAUGAUAAUGACAUUUUUUACCUAUAUGUCUUGACCAAGUCUCGUGCCAGCAGUCGCGGUAAUACGUGGAAGACUAGUGUUAUUCAUCUUUAAUAGGUUUAAAGGGUACCUAGACGGGAAAUCAAGCCCUAGGGACUGAUUUUCUAGAGUUUUAUGUGAGGAGAUCGUACUAGUGGAGUAGAGAUGAAAUUUGUGAUACAAUGGAGACGGGUGGCGAAAGCAACCUUCUAUGUAAAAACUGACGUUGAGGGACGAAGGCUUGGGUGGAGAAGAGGAUUAGAUACCCUAGUAGUCCAAGCAGACAAUUAUGAAUGUCAUAGAUUAGAUUUUGGUCUAUAAAUGAAAGUGUAAGCAUUCCACCUCAUGAGUAAUGUGGCAACACCGGAACUGAAAUCAUUAGACCGUUUCUGAAACCAGUAGUGAAGUAUGUUAUUUAAUUUGAUGGUCCGCAAAAAACCUUACCACAAUUUUUUACAAGCGCUGCACGGCUGUCUUCAGUUAAUGUCGUGAGAUUUUGGUUUGUUCCAUUAAUUAACGAAAACCCUUACUUUAUUUAUAUAUAAAGUAGUUCACCGUUAUAUUGGAUAAGAUAAACGGGUCAAGACCAAGUCAUCAUGGCCUAAAUGUGUGG